GAUCCUGGCUCAGAACGAACGUUAGCGGCGGGCCUAACACAUGCAAGUCGAACGCGAAAGGUCUUCGGACUGAGUAGAGUGGCGCACGGGUGAGUGACACGUAGGUAAUCUACCCUUUGGCGGGGGAUAACGUUCCGAAAGGAGCGCUAAUACCGCAUAAGACCACGGAGUCUCCGGACGCUGUGGGAAAAGGUGGCCUCUUCUUGAAAGCUACCACCGAAGGAUGAGCCUGCGUCCCAUCAGCUAGUUGGUAAGGUAAUGGCUUACCAAGGCGAAGACGGGUAGCUGGUUUGAGAGAAUGAUCAGCCACACUGGCACUGGAACACGGGCCAGACUCCUACGGGAGGCAGCAGUGAGGAAUAUUGGGCAAUGGGCGAAAGCCUGACCCAGCCACGCCGCGUGAGUGAUGAAGGCCCUCGGGUCGUAAAGCUCUGUGGAGAGGGACGAAAACCCUGGUUUCAAAUAGGCUCCAGGCUUGACGGUACCUCUUUAGCAAGCACCGGCUAACUCUGUG
rnacentral:rRNA from 1 species